rnacentral:rRNA from 1 species
UACGUAGGGUGCGAGCGUUAAUCGGAAUUACUGGGCGUAAAGCGUGCGCAGGCGGUUUUGCAAGUCAGAUGUGAAAGCCCCGGGCUCAACCUGGGAAUUGCAUUUGAAACUACAAGGCUAGAGUGUGUCAGAGGGGGGUAGAAUUCCACGUGUAGCAGUGAAAUGCGUAGAGAUGUGGAGGAACACCGAUGGCGAAGGCAGCCCCCUGGGCUGAGAUUGACGCUCAGGCACGAAAGCGUGGGGAGCAAACAGG